GUGUCCCAGGGAGGUGGUGGAGUCCCUGUGUCUGGGAGUGUCCCAGAGGUGUCUGGAUGUGUCCCUUGGGGCCAUGGAUUAGGGGUGAUCCUGGUGGUGCUGGGUGAGGGUGGCACUGGAUGAUCCUGAAGUUCUCUCCCAGCCUUGAUGAUCCUGGCCUGGAGUGACAGGACAAGGGG